AAGCAAUUUAGCCCUUAUUUGGGUAUAUCAGGGUGGGGGGUCAACUUGAAAAACAACUAUUCCAGGUCAAAUUAUCUGAAUUCAUGCAUUUAAGGCACUUAUUUUCUUCUCUUUUGUUAAGAAAUGACCAAAAAUCAGCUUUCCCAGUCAUAUUUUGCACUUGCAGAUGAUAUUUCAUUUUUACCUAAAGCUAGUUUAGGUUACAAUAUACCAAAAGAUUUCCUACACAAAUUCAAUGUAAAAGCAAUAACUUCAACAAAAAAUAAAGUCAAACUUUUGCGCAUAGAGACCCCCAUAACCAUACCUUUUCUUAAAGAGCAUUCCAAGCCGCAAUGAUUUAGACAAUAAAAAAGGGGGGUCAUGCGUUUUGCAAGAAAGAACUCGAUGCGAAUCAGCGGUCACUGUUUUACAGCCAUCAAUUUACCGGGUUCGUACCAGUGGAUGAGGGUUUCCCGCCAUCUGUCAAAGUCUCAUGUAGUCUUUAACCUUCAAGCAAAUGAGUGAAUUUCUGAUAAACAUCAAUGUUUUCCCUACCACAUGCACAAAGAAACAUUCUAAAAUAAAGUCAUGGCAAGUGCCCACACAGAAAAUUGUGUCUUCUUAUAAAUGAUGUUCAGGUUUUUAAAGAGUAUAGCAUUGCACUCCCAAAAGAUUUAGUAUAUUGUAACCUAAAGGAAAAAUAUGUUCUGAAUAAAAUGUGUUUUUCUUGCA